rnacentral:rRNA from 1 species
UACGUAGGGGGCAAGCGUUGUCCGGAUUUAUUGGGCGUAAAGAGCGUGUAGGCGGCCAGACAGGUCCGUUGUGAAAACUCGAGGCUCAACCUCGAGAUGUCGAUGGAAACCGUCUGGCUAGAGUCCGGAAGAGGAGUGUGGAAUUCCUGGUGUAGCGGUGAAAUGCGUAGAUAUCAGGAGGAACACCGGUGGCGAAGGCGGCUAUCUGGACAGAGUCUGACGCUGAGGCGCGAAAGCUAGGGGAGCAAACAGG